rnacentral:RNase_P_RNA from 1 species
GGAGUUGGCCAGGCAGUCGCGCUAUUCUAUAUAUAUAGAAUAGGGAGGAAAGUCCGGGCUCCACAGGGCAGGGUGCCAGGUAACACCUGGGGGGCGCGAGCCUACGGAAAGUGCAGCAGAAAAUAUACCGCCUAAGUUUCUUUUCGGAGAAACCGGUAAGGUUGAAAUGGUGCGGUAAGAGCGCACCGCGUCGGUGGUAACAUUCGACGGCAUGGUAAACCCCACUCGGAGCAAGACCAAAUAGGGGAACAACGUGUGGCCCACAUGGUUCCCGGGUAGGUUGCUUGAGGUGCAUGGUGACAUGUAUCCAGAUGAAUGACUGUCCACGACAGAACCCGGCUUAUCGGCCAACUCCACUU